ACACACACACACACGUAUACGUACACACACUGUACACACGCGACCACGCUGUGUACACACAUGAGAUGUAAAGCGCCUCAUCAAGCCGUGCCAUCAGCUUCCUGUAUAGUGAGUCUACUUGUCUGAGCCUCCCGUUCUUCAGCGAUCACAAUCCUUUACUAAAAAGGGAUAUUGUUUUUUCCUUCAACUGUGAAAAGAUAUAUCUAUAGAAAUCAUACAGAUUAAUAUAUGUACUCUCAAUUUAUGUAUAGUGUCCAUAUUCCCCCAUAAAAAAAAUAUUUAUACAUUUUGUAAAAAAAAAAAAAAAAACUUCAGAAGAAAAAGAAUCUGAAAGAAAAACGGUGUCCUGAAGUUGAAGUGAAGUUGACAAGUUGGAGAUAUUUAUUCAAAACGACACUAAAGGACACCGGGCCGCUGUGACUGUUUCAAAGAAAAAACCCCAACAGUCCCUUCACCUGCCCACUAUUACACAAUAUCAUUAAAUGUUCAACAAUGUAUCCAAUUUAAUGUGUUUUAACAUCAACAACAACAAAAAGAUUGACUUAUUUUUUUGGUUUUGUUUUUUAAAUCUGCAAUUUUCUGUGCAUUUGAGCCAAAUUGUUACAUGUACAAGAGCUAUAAUGUGUAUUUUAUUAAAUUAAUAUAUCGUUGUGUUGCAAUAUACAUGGGCUUUAUAUUGUAUUUUGAUGACCUCUCCUUAGUAGCUUGUCGAACUCUAUGAGUUUAAAUCAGUUUGGGGAUGUAUCCCGAAUAGCAACCUGUUUCCUGUGGAGUGCACUAGUUUUGACCAGGGCCCAUAGGGACACUCAUAGGGCUCUGAUCAAAACUAGUGCACUACGUAGUUUAUAGUGUUCCGUUUAGGACUCAAUCCUUUGGGUAUUUUUUUGUUUUGUUUUUUUUCCGUCUGUGUGUCCUCCUCUCUACUCAUUACGUCCUUUACAGGAUGGGUUUCACUGGUCUUUCAGGUGUGUCCUCCUCUCUACUCAUUACGUCCUUUACAGGAUGGGUUUCACUGGUCUUUCAGGUGUGUCCUCCUCUCUACUCAUUACGUCCUUUACAGGAUGGGUUUCACUGGUCUUUCAGGUGUGUCCUCCUCUCUACUCAUUACGUCCUUUACAGGAUGGGUUUCACUGGUCUUUCAGGUGUGUCCUCCUCUCUACUCAUUACGUCCUUUACAGGAUGGGUU